UACAGAGGGUGCAAGCGUUGUUCGGAAUCAUUUGGCGUAAAGCGCGUGUAGGCGGUCCGGUAAGUCCGCUGUGAAAGUCGGGGGCUCAACCCUCGGAUGCCGGUGGAUACUGUCGGGCUCGAGUCCGGAAGAGGAGUGUGGAAUUCCUGGUGUAGCGGUGAAAUGCGCAGAUAUCAGGAAGAACACCAAUGGCGAAGGCAGCUCUCUGGGACGGUACUGACGCUGAGACGCGAAAGCGUGGGGAGCGAACAGG
rnacentral:rRNA from 1 species